UCUCAGGGUGCUGACAAAAUCAAGUGUGUGACCAAGCCCAGAAUGGGGAUACGUUCCAGAAUGCACUCAGCUGCUGCUUCUGUGAAAUGAGAAUUAUAAUGCGAACCAUACCGGAGACCGGGUAGGUUUUCUAAGAGUCCCUCGGGCUUUGCUGUGAGGAAGAAGAGGCAUGAGAAGGCGCCUCUGAGGUGAGCCAGCUUGACCUGACAGCUUCAGAGCCUGUCUUCUGGCUAGGGAGGGAGCUGACACUUCCAUCUGGAGCCAGGAGCAGGAUGUGAGCUCUGCACAAAGAAGAUCCGUCCCUGAAACCCUGCUCCCCGCCUCCUCCACAGCACAGCAGCUGGCUUCCUGGGGAAUCAAGUGACAGCCAGACUCCAGGGAACCGAGCUAGCAAGACCGAAUUCUGGGGGGGUGAUCCACAGUGACAGAAGAGGCUUUGGCGUGGAUAGCUCAGCAGGGCAGCAGGGGCAGGGCCAGUUAACCCACAGAGGGACAGACAGUCUCAGGACUGUGGCCUCCUGCUCUGCUCCAAUGGGCACCGUCAAUUGUCUCAUAAUUCCCUGCUUCUAUUAGCAUUCAGGACCUGAAAAUGACCUUCUUUUGCUGUUUUCCUGACCACAAGGUGGAUUCUGCCCAUCAGGGCCUCCCUUUACCUUGGCACACAAGGGCCUCCAUCCUGGGGCACCCUCCCACCUGCCCCACCCCUCCAACCUAACUACUUGCCAUUUCCCAAAUACAUCGUGCAGUGCCUGGUGUCUAUCCUGUGGUUCAUGCUGCUUCCUCUGCCUGCAAUAUCCUUUCCCUGCAAUAGCCUCUUCCACCCAGCAGACGCCUCCUCACUCUCUUGGCUCAGCUCUAAGUCAUAUCCCCUAGGGAAGCUUACCAGGAUGCUGCAGUCAGAUGGAGUGUCUCCUCCUGGGCCCCCACAGCCCCUGUACUUCCUUCUGUGACAGCAACAAUCCCACAGCAGUGGAACUGCUUACCUGCCUGAGCUCCUGGAGGGCAAAGAUGCCAUGUGCUUCCUAGUUCUGAAUCUCAAGCUCCUAGCACAGAGCAUGGUGGGAAAAAAAAAGUGCUCAACAAAUACAUGCUGAAUUUAACUAAAUUUGGUAGAAGGUUCAUUUUCCCACCAGCUCUCACAGCUCACAGAUUAGGAUUCCACUGGAAUGUAUAUACAUACUAAAUCAUGUGUAUCUAGUUUUUUUUGGGUAGUGGAUUUAUUGAGAUUGAAUUUCUAUAACCAUACAAUUCACCCAUUUAAUUUCAAGUAUACAAUUCAAUGUUGUUUGUACAUUCACAGACUUGUGUAAUUAUAACCACAAUCAAGUUUAGAACAUUUUCAUCUCCUCAAAAAGAAACUCAUACCCAUCAGCAUUCAUUCUCCAUUUACCCCCUUCCCCCAUUCCCUGGUAAUCACUCAUCUAUUUUCUGGUCUCCAUAGAUAUAUCUGUUCUGGACG
rnacentral:lncRNA from 1 species